rnacentral:rRNA from 1 species
GGAAUCUGCCGGCACCAUCCGGUAAGGCUAAAUACUCCUGAGAGACCGAUAGUGAACCAGUACCGUGAGGGAAAGGUGAAAAGAACCCCGAACAGGGGAGUGAAAUAGAACCUGAAACUGUGUGCUUACAAGCGGUCGGAGCGUCCAGGUGGCGUGACGGCGUGCCUUUUGCAUAAUGAGCCUACGAGUUACUCUUCUCUGGCAAGGUUAAGUGUUUAAGACACGGAUCCGAAGCGAAAGCGAGUCUGAAUAGGGCGUAUAGUCAGGGGAGGUAGACGCGAAACCUUGUGAUCUACCCAUGGACAGGUUGAAGGUGCGGUAACACGUACUGGAGGACCGAACCGAUAAACGUUGAAAAGUUUCCGGAUGAUCUGUGGGUAGGGGUGAAAGGCUAAUCAAACUGGGAAAUAGCUCGUACUCCCCGAAAUGUUUUUAGGAACAGCGUGGAUAUAAAGUUAUAUAGAGGUAGAGCUACUGAUUGGGUGCGGGGGAGUCAAAUCCUACCAAAUCCAGACAAACUCCGAAUGCUAUAUAAUAUGAUCUGCAGUGAGGCCCGGGGUGCUAAGGUCACGGGCCGAGAGGGAAAGAACCCAGACCAUCAGCUAAGGUCCCCAAGUUAUAGUUAAGUUGAACUAACGAGGUCCGAUUGCAUAGACAGCUAGGAUGUUGGCUUGGAAGCAGCCAUUCAUUUAAAGAGUGCGUAACAGCUCACUAGUCGAGCGAUCGGGCAUGGAUAAUAAACGGGCAUUAAACUAUACACCGAAGCUAUGGGUAAUAUUAAUAUUACGGUAGGGGAGCAUUCCAGCGGCAGCGAAGUUAUGACGUAAGUUGUGGUGGAGCUUCUGGAAAAGCAAAUGUAGGCAUAAGUAACGAUAAGGCGGGCGAGAAACCCGCCCACCGAAAGGAUAAGGUUUCCUGAUCAACGCUAAUCGGAUCAGGGUUAGUCGGGGCCUAAGGAGAACCCGAAAGGGAUAUUCGAUGGACAACGGGUUAAUAUUCCCGUACUUUUUAUAACUGCGAUGUGGUGACGGAGUAGUGACACUACCGCGAUCUGACGGAAUAGAUCGUUGAAGACAGUAGGUAUUGGUCUGGUAGGCAAAUCCGCCGGACUAGCUGAAAGUCGAUAGUACCGCGAACCUUCGGGUAAGUGGAUAGUGUAGGUAAUCAGACUUCCAAGAAAACCCGCUAAGCUUCAGGUUAUAAAAACCCGUACCGCAAACCGACACAGGUAUCCGGGAAGAGAAUUCUAAGGUGCUCGAGUGAAUCAUGGCUAAGGAACUCGGCAAAAUGGCCCUGUAACUUCGGGAGAAGGGGCGCUGGUAGCAAUAUCAGCCGCAGUGAAAAGGCCCAGGCGACUGUUUAACAAAAACACAUGGCUUUGCAAAAUCGAAAGAUGAAGUAUAAGGCCUGACACCUGCCCGGUGCUGGAAGGUUAAGAGGGGAUGUUAGUCGCAAGGCGAAGCAUUGAAUCGAAGCCCCAGUAAACGGCGGCCGUAACUAUAACGGUCCUAAGGUAGCGAAAUUCCUUGUCGGGUAAGUUCCGACCUGCACGAAUGGUGUAACGAUCUGGGCGCUGUCUCAGCCAUGAGCUCGGUGAAAUUGUGGUCCCGGUGAAGACGCCGGGUACCCGCAACGGGACGGAAAGACCCCAUGCACCUUCACUACAAUUUAACAUUGACAUUGGAUACAGGAUGUGUAGGAUAGGUGGGAGACUAUGAAGCGGCGUCGCCAGGCGUCGUGGAGUCAACGUUGAAAUACCACCCUUUCUGUAUUCGGUGUCUAACUUCGCCAAGCGAAGGACAUUGUUUGAUGGGUAGUUUGACUGGGGUGGUCGCCUCCAAAAAGGUAACGGAGGCUUUCAAAGGUAAGCUCAAUACGCUUGGUAACCGUAUGAGGAGUGCAAUAGCAUAAGCUUGCUUGACUGUGAGGCAUACAAGCCGAGCAGGGUCGAAAGACGGAUAUAGUGAUCCGGUGGUUCUGCAUGGAAGGGCCAUCGCUCAAAGGAUAAAAGGUACGCUGGGGAUAACAGGCUGAUCUCCCCCAAGAGCUCAUAUCGACGGGGAGGUUUGGCACCUCGAUGUCGGCUCGUCACAUCCUGGGGCUGGAGAAGGUCCCAAGGGUUCGGCUGUUCGCCGAUUAAAGUGGCACGCGAGCUGGGUUCAGAACGUCGCGAGACAGUUCGGUCCCUAUCUGUUGUGGGCGUAGGAAUUUUGAGUGGGGCUGACCUUAGUACGAGAGGACCGGGUUGGACUAGCCUCUAGUGAAUCUGUUGUUCCGCCAGGGGCAUUGCAGAGUAGCUACGCUGGGAAUAGAUAAGCGCUGAAAGCAUCUAAGUGCGAAACUAGCCACGAGAUGAGAAUUCCAUAUAGGACCGUAGCAGACUACUACGUUGAUAGGUUACAGAUGUAAAGGUGGUGACAUCAAAGUCGAGUAAUACUAAUCAUCCGAAGCUUUCAAGAGCAGUAAACUGUUGUUUGUUCUUCCUAACUUAACUUCUUUCAAUAAUAUGUCAUUGUUUGACAGCAUAAGGUAAGUCCAUUCCGAAGCUGUAUAAACAUUAAAAAUAUUUAGGUGCCUAUAUCGGUGGUGUCCACCUCUUCCCAUUCCGAACAGAGAAGUUAAGCCCACCAGAGCCGAUGGUACUGCGGUAACACGUGGGAGAGUAGGUCGGUGCCAAAUCUUAAAGAAAGCCUGUAGUCAAAA